rnacentral:rRNA from 1 species
UUUAUUGGAGAGUUUGAUCCUGGCUCAGGACGAACGCUGGCGGCAUGCCUAAUACAUGCAAGUCGAGCGGAGUUGAUAGGAAGCUUGCUUCCUUGAUACUUAGCGGCGGACGGGUGAGUAACACGUAGGCAACCUGCCCUCAAGCUUGGGACAACUACCGGAAACGGUAGCUAAUACCGAAUACUUGCUUCCUUCGCCUGAAGGAAGCUGGAAAGACGGAGCAAUCUGUCACUUGAGGAUGGGCCUGCGGCGCAUUAGCUAGUUGGUGAGGUAACGGCUCACCAAGGCGACGAUGCGUAGCCGACCUGAGAGGGUGAUCGGCCA